rnacentral:ncRNA from 1 species
UGACCUCGGAUCAGGUAGGAAUACCCGCUGAACUUAAGCAUAUCAAUAAGCGGAGGAAAAGAAAC